UACGUAGGGUGCGAGCGUUAAUCGGAAUUACUGGGCGUAAAGCGUGCGCAGGCGGCUUUGCAAGACAGGUGUGAAAUCCCCGGGCUUAACCUGGGAACUGCAUUUGUGACUGCAUGGCUGGAGUGCGGCAGAGGGGGAUGGAAUUCCGCGUGUAGCAGUGAAAUGCGUAGAUAUGCGGAGGAACACCGGUGGCGAAGGCGCUCAUCUGGCCCAAUACUGACGCUGAGGCGCGAAAGCUAGGGGAGCAAACGGG
rnacentral:rRNA from 1 species